rnacentral:rRNA from 1 species
CGAGGAUUCUCCCAGUAACGGCGAGUGAACGGAGAGAAGCCCAGCGCUGAAUCAUUUGGUCACAGUGAUCAAAUUGAAAUGUAGCGUAUAGGUGUAACUGUCCCAUUGUUUUGUGCACUCAAAGUCCCCUUGAGCGGGGCCACAGUCCACAGAAGGUGCUAGACCUGUACGGGUGACGAAGCAUUGGGUUAGUUGCUCCUUGGAGUCGAGUUGCCUGAGAUCGCAGCUCAAAGUGGGUGGUAAACCUCAUCUAAGGCUAAAUAUGGCCACGAGACCGAUAGCAAACAAGUACCGUGAGGGAAAGUUGAAAAGAACUCUGAGAAGAGAGUUAAAGGAGGACGUGAAACCGCUGGGAUGGAAACGAAUAGAGUUGACGAAACCAACCGUCAUUCAACCGAUCAGCUUAGCGGUCUCAUUACUAGUGUACCACCAGAUGUGAGUGUCUUGUGCAUUUCAUCGAUGGACAUUAGUAGGAGGUGCUGUUGAGUAGUUUUAAAAAAUACCUAUGUGAUCGGUGCAUUUGAUGGUGGUACGCGCCGAGAGCCGCGUUGAUUUGUAUGACAAAACUAAUGGUAGUGGACCGAGUAAUUUUUUACUCGGAAACCUACCAAUAGUGGAGGUAUAUCAUUGAUGCGGUUGCAAUAGCAAUUUUCGCCGUAUGGUGCGUUACAUAUGUGCACAAUUUAUACUUGCAUAAAAUGAUCGCUUGCGUAUCGUUUAUGUGUAAUUUAGUAUUGAAUUAUGUGAUAUGUAUUUGACGCGUUAAAAUUGCAUCUCGGUGUGAGCGUCGAUCACCUAUUCGACCCGUCUUGAAACACGGACCAAGGAGUCUAGCAUAUGCGCAAGUUAUUGGGUGGUAAACCUAAAAAACGCAAUGAAAGUGAAAAUCGUCUCGAUACGAUUGGAUAUGUGAGCCAUGUAUGUUUUUUUCUAAUUUUUGGAAAAAACAUUAACAUGGUGCAACAUAGCCCCGUCCCCGUUGCUUGCAAUAGGGCGGAGGUAGAGCGCAUACGCUGGGACCCGAAAGAUGGUGAACUAUGCCUGAGCAGGAUGAAGCCAGAGGAAACUCUGGUGGAGGUCCGAAGCGAUUCUGACGUGCAAAUCGAUCGUCUGACUUUGGUAUAGGGGCGAAAGACUAAUCGAACUAUCUAGUAGCUGGUUCCCUCUGAAGUUUCCCCCAGGAUAGCUGGAGCACAUAAAAGAGCAGUUAUAUUCGGUAAAGCGAAUGAUUAGACGCAUUGGGGACGAAACGUCCUCAACCUAUUCUCAAACUUUCAAUGGGUAGGAAGUUUCGCUUUCUUAAAAAUGAAAAUGAAGCGUAAACAUUGAAUGCGUGCUCCAAGUGGGCCAUUUUUGGUAAGCAGAACUGGCGCUGUGGGAUGAACCAAACGUCGAGAUAAAGUGCCAAACUUUCCGCUCAUGAGACCCCAUGAAAGGCGUUGGUUGAUAUAGACAGCAGGACGGUGGCCAUGGAAGUCGGAAACCGCUAAGGAGUGUGUAACAACUCACCUGCCGAAUCAACUAGCCCUGAAAAUGGAUGGCGCUUGAGCGGGAGACUUAUACUCGACCGUUGCUUGGCUUGUGUACAUGGGUGAUGUGAUGAUGUGUGUGUGUGUGUGUUAUCAUCAUGUUUAUGUUGUUAACAACAACAACACUCAAGAGAAUGCAUAAGUUACCUGGCCGCAACGAGUAAGAGGGUCGCAGUGGUUAGCGCUGAAGACUUUGGGCGUAGGCCCAGUCGGAGCUUCCACUGGUGCAGAUCUUGGUGGUAGUAGCAAAUAUUCAAGUGAGAUCCUUGAAGACUGAAGUGGAGAAGGGUUCCUCGUGAACAGCAGUUGGAUGCGGGUCAGUCGAUCCUAAGAUAUUGGCUAAUGCCAUUUGUUAAAUGAGAGACGGAGAUCAAAUCCAUCUCGGCAAUCGAAAGGGAAACGGGUUUAUAUUCCCGUACCUGGACACGGAGAUUAAAUAUCCAUUGCGGAUAUUUAGCGCGGUAACGCAAACGAACUCGGAGACGUUGAGUAGAGCCCGAGCCAGAGUUCUCUUUUCUGGUUAAGGAACGGACUCCCUGGAAGCGGUUCAGCCGGCGAUAGGGACGUUGUUUCCGUAAAGCGCCACGGUUCCUGUGGCGUCUCGUGCACUCUGCUCGACCCAUGAAAAUCCGAGGGAGGCAAUUUGAAUUUCGUGCCAGAUCGUACCGAUAUCCGCAGCAGGUCUCCAAGGUGAACAGCCUCUAGUCGAUAGAAUAAUGUAGGUAAGGGAAGUCGGCAAAUUAGAUCCGUAACUUCGGGAAAAGGAUUGGCUCUAAGGACUGGGUCGGUCGGGCUGCAGCGUGAAGUGAGUGCGGUUUGAUCCGUGCAGUGCUAACGCUAUAUGGUUGUUCGCAAAAUCUCUUGGAACUUUGAGUACAAAAUUUGCCCAAGUUGAGAGUGCAUUUUUGACUUUAAUCGGUCUUGAGUGUAUUUUAAUUUGGGAGUGAAUUUUGUAUGAUUGAGUGAAAAGUGAUGUGUCAAUCAGAAAAGUGUUUGGUUCGGCUAGUGUUUGAACUGUCUUAUGGACCGCUACAGCUGUGCAUUGGUUAACUUUACAGUUACCAGUGCUUCGUCCGGCGCUAAACAGUCAGCUUAGAACUGGCACGGACUCGGGGAAUCCGACUGUCUAAUUAAAACAGAGGAGACAGAUGGUCCUUGCGGGCGUUGACUGUCUCUGAUUUCUGCCCAGUGCUCUGAAUGUAAAAGUGAAGAAAUUCAACCAAGCGCGGGUAAACGGCGGGAGUAACUAUGACUCUCUUAAGGUAGCCAAAUGCCUCGUCGGAUAACUACCGACGCGCAUGAAUGGAUUAUCGAGAUUCCCACUGUCCCUAUCUACUAUCUAGCGAAAUCACAGCCAAGGGAACGGGCUUGGCAAACACAGCGGGGAAAGAAGACCCUGUUGAGCUUGACUCUAGUCCGACUCUGUGAAGAGUCAUGAGAGGUGUAGCAUAAGUGGGAGGUUUUAUCGAGUAAAAUUGAUAAACCAUCAGUGAAAUACCACUACUUUCAUCGAUUCUUUACUUAUUCGGUAAGACGGGAAUUGAACCAAGACGGUUCUUGAUUCUGGUAUAAAGUGUAGCCGCUUGGUGGCAGCACGACUCGCGCCGAAGACAGUGUCAGGCGGGGAGUUUGACUGGGGCGGUACAUCUGUCAAAAGGUAACGCAGGUGUCCUAAGGCUAGCUCAGAGAGGACGGAAACCUCUCGUAGAGUAAAAGGGCAAAAGCUCGCUUGAUCUUGAUUUCCAGUACGAAUACAGACCGCGAAAGCGUGGCCUAUCGAUCCUUUUGAAUUAGAAGGUCUCUAGCAAGAGGUGUCAGAAAAGUUACCACAGGGAUAACUGGCUUGUGGCAGCCAAGCGUCCAUAGCGACGUUGCUUUUUGAUCCUUCGAUGUCGGCUCUUCCUAUCAUUGCGAAGCAGAAUUCGCCAAGCGUUGGAUUGUUCACCCACCAAUAGGG